rnacentral:rRNA from 1 species
UACGAAGGUGGCAAGCGUUACUCGGAAUUACUAGGCGUAAAGCGCAGGUAGGCGGUUCGAUAAGUCUUUUGUGAAAGCUCCCGGCUUAACUGGGAGAGGCCAAGGGAAACUGUCGGACUAGAGUGUGGUAGAGGGUGCUGGAAUUCCCGGUGUAGCGGUGAAAUGCGUAGAGAUCGGGAGGAAUACCUAUGGCGAAAGCAGGCGCCUGGGCCAUCACUGACGCUGAGCUGCGAAAGCGUGGGGAGCAAACAGG